GUUAGGUUUUGCUUCUUUUUGCCACCUCAAACUUGCAUUAUCCCAUAAUAUCAUCAAACUAUACCUAUCCGGUAUACAACAUCACAUGUUGAACAUAUUUCCAAACAAACACAGCUUUAUGUCUUCAUACCAGAUUAAAACCAUACUCAGAGGCAUUCAGAGAUCCGGACACGCUCAAACACACAAGAGAUUACGCAUCGACAUCCAACUAUUUCAUUCUCUGUCAGACCUAUUAGAUGCUUGUCCCUUCAAUCAACACACCAACCUAAUAAUAAAAACUGCAAUAUACCUG